AGGGCUCUGGAUCUCUGUUUCUCUACCUGUAAAGCAAGGGGGUUGGAUGUGCUUUCCUGCUUUGAAAUCUGGCGAUUCUUAUCGUCUUUUACAGAGCCCACUCUGCGGAAAGCGGAGCACGGCUCACUUGUUGCUGCGAGCUUCUUAUCAGAUACAGACCCAGACAGACACCGUCUGGCCUAACUGCUCACGUGAUGAUUAUUCACCCUGUCCAGAAGAAAGUGCCAGGUGAUAUCUGAGCUGUGGCAGCAGCCAGCUGCCUCCAAACACAUUCCAGGAGCUUGAAUCCUCUCCCUGGGGGUGAAUUUUUUUUUUUCUUCCAACUGGGAAACUUCAGGCCGGAUGUCCACCAGGCAAAAUGCCCAAGACCACCAUCUUUCUCCUGCAGAACUGCAGUAACCACUGUGGUGGGCACUGGAGGUGGCCCCUUGACUAUCCAUGUCCUGCUCCUUGUUCCUAACUCGAAAUUGACUUUGAAAGCAUUCAGCUCUGUCCUUUAUGACUCAGAGGAAGCUACUAUCACCUCUGGUGUAGGGGUGGCCUAAUAGAGGAAGUCUGGCCUGGUAUACCCCUGGGAUUAGGCCUGUGGCCUAAGUGGCUUAAUGAUAUUGAAGGGAGGAACAGUCUCCUUCUUUCCUGCUGGAGGAGCAGGAUGUAGUGAGCUGGCCUGGGCCCAGGUCAUGAAGGAUGAGUUUAAUGUGGAAUCAUUGCCCCAUGGACUCGCCCUCAGGCUGCUCCAGGAAGAGCGACAUGAAGAUGACAGGAACAGUCGUAACCAAGCUUGACAAACUACUGAUUUCUACCAAAGAAACUUCAAUGCCUUCCAGACAUCAGAGCCGACAGAUGAGAAGAGCUAAGAACAUGGAGGAGGCUCCUGUAGACACCAAUGUCUCUUGCCAUUUCAUACCAUAGCUCCCCUCCUCCAAGCAGCCUUCCCAGGUCUUUUGAUCAUGGCAGCAAAAAAGCUGACUAAAACAGAGCACUGUAUGGAAAAAAGUGAUGUGAAUUGAAAGUGUAGAAGCCUUCUCAGAGAAGAAGUAUGGCAAGAGAACUUCCCACUGGAGGGAUGAAGGAAGAUCUCUUGAUUUUUGAUCUUGGAGGAGGUGGUAUUGAGGUGGUCCUUUAAGGAUGCUCUGAAACAUCCAGACUGAAAACUCCCGGGGACAGUUCUCGAGUACUUUACUUACCACAACGGGGGCUUUGAGACGGAUGCUGACACUGGAAAAGCUGAGUUCCAGUCCUGGGCUCUCUGCUCACCAGCCACCUGAGCCUGGACACAGAUGCCCGGGCCCCUCCGGAGAAACUGAUUGAAGCAGUCUGUCCAAGAACCUGGCUGUUGGGAUCCGUUGCCAGCUCCCCAGCACAAUUCAGCAUGUCACCAUUAGCACCAACUGUGGAGUUGGGUUCUCCUGUCCUAUCAUCCUAGCAUCACCCAGAGCGGUUGACUUCCUGCAAUGAACUUCAGCAGUUUAACUUGACAUUUUGAGGUCCUCGGUAGCGUCUUCCCAGAGGACUUUUGGUAAGUACUGUGAAUUAGUCACCUUUUUGUCACUACAAUGAAUACCUUCUGAGGCAGGCUACUUAUGAAGAAAAGAGGCCUCUGUAGCUCACAGUUUGGGAGGUUCAAGGCAUAGAGCUGGCACUGGCUCAAGUUCUUGGGUUCUUGGCUGAGUUGUAUGAUGGCAGAGGCCAAUGGGAGAAAGUGGUCACAUCUUGAUACAGGAAGCAGAGAGAGAGGCACAGAGUCAGGCUUGGCUUUUAUAGCAACUUGCUUUUGUGAGAAUUCACUCCCGAAGACCAGUAUUCCCUUCCAAGAUCAUUACUCCCAAUGACCAAGAACCUCCCACUAGGACUCACCUCUAAAACACCCAGGGCACCUUUAAGUAUUAUUACUCUGAGGACCAACCCUCCAGCACAUGAGCCUGUAAGAGGACUUCCCAAUUCACCCAUGACGUACUACUUCUCUGAAUCCAAGGCCCAGUGGAUUAUUUUCUUUUCUUCAGAAUGCCAUAUAUGUUUAUGGUAUUUAAAUUUUGGCACAUGCUGUUCUCACUGC